rnacentral:rRNA from 1 species
CCCGGCACAAGCGAGGAACAUGUGGUUUAAUUCGAUGAUACGCGAGGAACCUUACCCGGGCUUGAAAUGCAUCUGACGUAGGCAGAGACGUCUAUUCCCUUCGGGGCAGAUGUGUAGGUGCUGCAUGGUUGUCGUCAGCUCGUGCCGUGAGGUGUCGGCUUAAGUGCCAUAACGAGCGCAACCCUCAUCAUUAGUUACCAACAGGUCAAGCUGGGGACUCUAGUGAGACUGCCAUCGUAAGAUGUGAGGAAGGUGGGGAUGACGUCAAAUCAGCACGGCCCUUACGUCCGGGGCGACACACGUGUUACAAUGGGUGGUACAAAGGGCAGCUACCUGGCGACAGGAUGCUAAUCUCGAAAACCACUCUCAGUUCGGAUCGGAGUCUGCAACUCGACUCCGUGAAGCUGGAUUCGCUAGUAAUCGCGCAUCAGCCAUGGCGCGGUGAAUACGUUCCCGGGCCUU